UUCUGAUGAUGAGCCAGCCAUGCUAAUACUGAUGCACCAGUCUGACUGUGUCUCUCUGGGUGUAAGUGAGUUCAACACAACUUCUCACACUCGUGGUGUGAUCUGAAGAUG
ensembl:snoRNA